rnacentral:lncRNA from 1 species
CGCCCGCCCUCCCCUCACACCGCUCCCUCCCGGCCCCACAGGCCUCUCCGCGGGUCUCCCCUUCCUUCGCGCCCCCGCCCCGGGCCCCCCCNNNNNNNNNNCGGGCCGGGCUGGGCCAUGGCUUCGGCAGGCGAACGGCGCCGCCGCGGCCUCCUCCGCCUCCAGCCGCGGCGUCGGAGCGGGAACCGCUACGCCAGGGGGCCCCGGCGAGAGACGGGAGCUGCCGGCCUGGGCCUCCGCCUCCUCCGCCUCAUCCUGACAGCGGCCGCCGCCGGCGGGAGGAGGAGGAGGAGGAGGAGCGCCGCGCAGGCGCCCACGGUGAAGCCCAGGGAAACAGAAGUUGCAGCAUCUUUAAGGAGGGACUCAUCUGCUCAGAGAGCAAGCCUUGGGUUCAUUCAAAAGAACUGUCUUGGGAGAUAUUUAGAAGAACUUGAUACUCAAGAGGACUGA